ACCACACAAAAUCAAAAAAAGGAGCAUAGCAGAAUAUGUGAUGCUCAGGGCGGCUUGCACUAUCUAAUUUCUCAGGCCCCCGAAUAUAUUUAUAUGUACUCUAUGUUAGGGUUAACAUUGAAUGAAGAAUAGGGCCAAAUUGGAGAAACAAAGUUCAUUGGAGAUUUGACGGUGGACUGACGAUAGUAAAUAUAAUUGAUUUGAAGUCUUGGCCAACCAUUCAUUUAUAGGUGCGUGCUUGAAAUGCCAAUUUUCACUGAUGGAUUCCAAGAUUUUGAAGAACUAGAGGUUUGUAAGGAAACACACGAAAUAGAGUGGGAAAAUUUCUAUAGAAGAACAUAUGUUUUCAGACUUUGACAGCUAUAUAUAGCAACUUCUUUUCAUGAGCCACAACCUUUGACAGAUUCUAUAUCUCGCUUUGUAUGGGUUAAGUUACUAAGUGACAUAAAUUUCUAGCCAAAACCAUGAGUAGAAAUGGUCAGAAGAGGUGGCCAUAGUUCCAACAUUUGAUGGUAGACAUGUUUAAUGGAGCCUUUCUUGAGGAACGCUGAACUUGUAUCUUUAUCAGAAUCAUACCAUCUGACAGACAUCAACAAAGCUUGGAGACUCUGAUGUGGAGAGCUAUCAAACAACUAUCACUUGAAGAUCAAGACAAGUAGAAUAUUAUCUUUAUUAUUAGGAUGUUAUAUGUUGAUGUUAUACAAUAACUAUUAGGAUGU
rnacentral:lncRNA from 1 species